UUUUUCAAAUCAAAAAUUUAAAAUGAUAUCAGUUGAACAUUUUUGAAAAAAUCGUGACUUUGGCAACUCUAAAAACUUUGACAUUUAAAUGCCAUUAAAAAUAUGCACUCGAAAUUUUAAAUCAAAUUUAACACCAGUAAAAAUGGCCUAUAAUGUCUACGAAGGACCUAAUACUGACAAAACUUUGCCACCAUUGGUCGUGAUGCACGGACUUUUCGGUUCAAAACAAAACUGGAUGUUAGUAUGUAAAAAGCUGCAAAUCAAAAUUAAACAGCGAAUUUACGCCGUUGAUGCCAGAAACCACGGCGAAAGUCCACACAUAAAUGAACAUAGUGCGGCGAAUAUGGCAGAAGAUGUGGCGGAAUUUAUACGUCAAGAAGGUUACGCAAGAGCUUCAGUAAUGGGACACAGUAUGGGUGGCAGAGCAAUGAUGUACUUAGCUCUACAACGUCCCGAUUUAGUGGAACGUGGAGUUAUCAUUGACAUAUCUCCACUUUCAAUGCCUUCCAGUCUACCUGAGUUAGAAAGCUUAAUGCUUACCAUGAAAAAUAUAUCAAUACCGAAAGAUUUAUCUAUAGCACAGGGACGAAGAAUGGCUGAAAAGGACUUACAAGCUAUAAUAAGUCCCUAUACUGCUAGCUUUCUAAUGCUGAAUUUUAAAAAACGUGAAUCUGGUGAAUUUUAUUGGACGUCUAAUAUAGACGCAUUACUCAAUAAUUUACGAAAAUUUUCGGAAUUUUCAGAGCAUGUAAACAAUUUGAAGCCAUUCCCAAGACCAAUGCUUUUUGCUUGUGGCACACAUUCAGCUUUCAUGGAUCCUGAGAGUUGGCCAGCUGUUCAAAAAAUAUUUCCGAACUCGAAACUAGAUUGGCUGGACACUGGUCAUAUGGUGCACUUGGAGGAGCCAAUGAGAUUUGCAAAUGUAGUAGCAAAAUUUUUAAAUACACCAGCUUAAAAGUUGGUAUUAGAUUGUUUUGUAGUAAAAAUGGAAAGGAAUGGAACAGGAUUUGUCUGAUUUGUCUGAUUUGUCUUACAAGCAAAGUGAACACUAUCCUUUCAUUUGGAUAAUUGAAGUAUUAUUAUGAUAUAUGAAAUAGCGAAUCAUGAAUUUAUAAAAUGUUUUCGGUUAGACUGCUUUCAACGCGGCCGU